AGCAUUUCUACCAGCAGACUCUUUCAUUGUUCAGUGGCAGCAUGAUUCUCAGCACUAAAAAAAUUCUUGGGAUUAUCAUGUAACGUUUUUGCAGACUGUCAAUUUUGGCACCCCAGAUGGGACCACCUCUGUCCGGCUGUGGGACCUGCUGAGGACAGGGACUUCUCUGGGUGCCCCCGGGAUUUCUCGGGAGGAUUCCCUUCACUCACCCAGAUCACCGCAGGGACAGAUAAGGACCAUCUUUGAGCGGACAAGUCUGCAGGAGUUAAUGGAGUUAACGGUGUUAUGUCCACAAGCAGUUCUAUUGCUGUGUGUGUAAGAAGGUCUUUAGCAAGUGUAUGCCGGAGGUAAGGAUCGAGGACUGGGAUAGAGAAGGGGGGGUGUCAGUGCAUUGAUCUGUGGAAGGGAAAGCUUGAUAUCAGUGAAGAGAACAAUUUGAAAAAAAAUAAAAGAAGGUUUGCUUGGGAGCAGAGACGGGGAUAGGGACAGUGUUGGCAUCGGUGUGUGGAUCAGUGGAAAAGGACAAUUUGAAAGUGUAAAAACAAAAGGUUUGUGUGGGAGCAGGCACUGGAAAAAGAAAAUAAAAAGGAAAGAAAAGGGAAAAUGAGGAGAUAUAGUUCUGCCUGUAUUAUUGGUCAAAGGUGUGUUAAAUUAGGUAAAGGGACAAAACCUGAAAUGACCGAAUUCCCAGAGCAUUAUCAACCCCCAACUGAAGCCCAACAACAUGAGGAGAGGGACGCAGACAGCUCUUGAACACCCCCCCACCGAUAGUCCUGUCUCUUCUUGUUCACGAAGAAAAGAGAGAUAGGGAGUUAUACAGGCUCCCUUAAGAGAAGCGGUGGGUCCUGAUGGGCACCAGUUCUAUUAAAAGUCCUGUUUUCCUCUUUUGAUUUAGAAACUUGGAAAAAUGUGACUAAAAAGUAUCAGGACGACCCUAUCAGGAUGAUGAGAUAUUUCCAGUUUAUAAUAAGACAACACAACCCCGACUGGAAUGAUAUUCAGCUGCUAUUAAAACAUAUGACUGAAACAGAAAAACAGAUAAUAAGAACAGCUCAAAAUUUGGCAAGUGAUCAAAUAAAAGACCCAGAAGAGGUCAAGGAAUAUUUCCGUUUACAAGAUCCAGAGUGGGAUCCUAACAGAAAUACACAUAAAGUCUCGUUAAUGGCAUAUUGAGUUAGUUAAAGGAAUGGAAAGGGCCAUCCUAGAAUCAAUAAACUGGUCAAUGUUAUACACAGUGAAACAAGGUCCGAAAGAAACACCCUCAGAAUUUUUAGACAAAUUACGAGACACCAUGAGACAGCACACUGUCCUGGAAUCUGGAUCUGAAGUAGGAAUACAGCAAUUAGUAUCCCUGGUUUUAGGACAAUCAGCACCAGACAUUCGAAGGAAGUUACAAAAGUUAAGGCCGACAGAAAGUAGGGAUCUAGAGAGGUUGUUAGAUGAAGCCUGGAGAAUAUAUGGUAACUGAGAAGCUUUCCCUUGCCAAACUAAUAAAUCUAGAGAGGUAACUAAAAUAUUGUUACAAGAAAUAAUACCAAGGUGUGGUGUCAAGUAAUAUCUUAGGAUCAGGGGCCCCAUUUGAUUGCAGAAACUGUUCAGCAAGUUAGUAAAGUAUUGGGAAUAGAUUGGCAGUUACAUAUGCCUUACAGGCCACAAGCAAGUGGCCAGGUGGAAAAGAUGAACCAUUUGAUUAAGUUGCAAACUGUAAAGUUGGGGCAAGAAGCUGGAUUGCCCCGGCCUCGGUCAUUACCUUUGGCCCUACUGAGAAUUAGAAUGAAGCCAAGGGCCAAGGAAGGGUUGAGUCCCUUUGAAAUAUUAUGCAACAGACCUUGUGAUAUACAAAUGGCUGCAACAACACAAAUUGGAAAUGAGAUAUUGCCUGAAUAUGUGAUAAGUUUACAUAAACAACUCCAAAAAGUUGAAAGACAGGUUUUGGGAACUCGAGCAAGCGGUCCUGAUGAACCAAUUCAUAAUAUUGUGCCAGGUGAUUAUGUAUGUGUCAGAUCUAUUUCAGAUUCAUCUUUAGAACCAAAGUGGGAAGGACCCUUUCAAGUUCUACUAACAUCUCAUACCGCAGUCAGGAUUAGGGUACAAGUAUCAUGGAUACAUCAUACCAGAAUCAAGAAAGCUCCUACGCCAUGAUGGGAAUCAACACCGACUGGACCCCUAAAGCUCUGAAUCCAGCAAAAGGGUGGAAAAUAACUGUAUUUGUCAUACUGGAAUUAUCAGUAGAAAUAGUGAUUGCUUGGGAACAGAAUUCAUAUGUAAAGAUGACUAAAUCCAUAGCAAGACAUCUUAAUCCUUCAGUUUAUUGGGUGUGUACAGCUCUUCCUAGAGGAAGUCCAGGGUUGCCUUUGGAAUAUUAUCUACAAAUUUUACUUUGAAUGCCUGGAAUAAGACCCACUGCACCUUUGGAAAGGAUGUGCAGAAAAAGAAGGGGCCCAAAUUUGAUUUACAAGUGCGGAACCAGUAAAAUGUAAUAUGCCCAAACAACCAAACAGGAGGCCAAAAUGUGAGGACAUUUGAACCACUUAGAAAUAUAAAUGUAACCCUUAAAGAGAUUAAGAAGAAAGGCAAAGGUAAGUUAUUCUGUCUAAGUAAGAUAACUGAGUAAUGUAAGCUGGGCCCUGGAUUUUGGCAGAUUUGUGGAGACGGAUGGGCCAGAAAGAGUCUACCUAUUAAUUGGACAGGAACAUGUAUGGGAGGAUUCCUGAUGACCCAGAGUAAAAUAUUCAAUCGAUGAGAUUCCUAGUGGUAUAAUAAGGUCAUCAUGGAACAGAAUAAGAUGAGGAACUAACCCUCUUAGCACAAAGGCCAACUCCUUUUCAUAGCUUUGCAAGGUGGUUCCUCCCCUGGCUAGGAGUUAGCAAACUUGAAAAAGCGAUAGUAAACAUCUCAGCAGAAAUGGAAGUUGUAAUCAACCACACUGCAGAUGCCUUUACAGCUCUCCAAACUGAGGUGACCUCCUUGCAUAAAUUUGUGCAACAAAAAUGGAUGGUUCUGGAUAUGCUAACCGCACAACUAGGAGGGGUACGUACCUUGACAAAUACAAGUUGUUGCACUUAUAUUGAUCACUCAGGAAGAGUGAUAAAAGAUAUAGAUGAAAUUUAGAAACAGGCCAAAGUCUCGCAUGGUGCAACCUUAGAUGAUACCUCGUAUGGGUGUUCAAAACUGUGGGAGAAACUAACUUCUUGGUUAUCUAAUUUUACCUGGCUGAAACAAUUAUUUGUUGCUAUGGUAGUUAUGAUUAUCUUAGGAAUUCUAAUCUGUCUUAUGUUGCAAUGUUUUAAGCAUUUUAUUUGACUGCUUGAGGAAAUGGUGUUAUGUAGGCAAAAGAAUUUGCUUAGGAUAAAGGAAGGGGGGGAAUUGAAAGAAGAAAUAAUUUGUUAAAAGUUAUAAGUUUCAAUUAACUAAAAUAUAGAAUUCUGACAUAAAGGUUUUUUUAGUGGGGCGGUGACUGUAUCUGGUUGAAGCCAGAUAACAAGAACUGGUGCAACAGUCAUGGGAAGGACCACCAGCGGGACCAGAUAAGGCCCGAAGGCAGCCUAGGCUCUCUAAGAGCAUGUGCAAGGAGGGAAGGUGAAAAGUUCAAUGCGAGGAAGACGGCCUAUCUUCAUCCCCAAAGACCCCAUCAACCAUUACCACGAGGAAAUGAGCAAGUACUAAGAAAAGGAGACCUAUGAUGAUGAUGAGUUCCUGGAAUUAAUCAUACUAUGAUAAUGAGUUCCAGUGACUAAUCUUACUAACCCUACCCACUUCUUGGAAAAGACAUGACUAUGUAUGUUACCCUGAUGCAUAUGUAUAACAUGGCACAAUAAAGAUGUACCGGCUUUGACACAUGGUGUGCAAGCUUGGAGGAAAGAUCCCCCUUGCACCCUGUGCACAGCUGCAUACCUGCACCUAACUCUGCAUUUGGUGUGGUCACUCCUCGAGUCAUUACUUCUGUAUGUUAUUUUACUGAUAAAACCCCAGAAAAGAUCCGUGCUUCAUAUAGAAGCAGACU